rnacentral:rRNA from 1 species
AACGAACGCUGGCGGCAUGCCUAACACAUGCAAGUCGAACGAUGCCUUCGGGCAUAGUCUCGCACGGGUGUGUAACGCGUGGGAAUCUGCCCUUGGCUUCGGCCUAACUGUUAGACUUGGCUGCUAAUACCGGAUCAUGUCCCCCUGAGAGUUCUUUGGGACCAAAGAUUUAUCGGUCAGGGAUGAGCCCUAUUCGGUUUCGUUUGGUGGUUGGGUCACGGCCUACCAAGCCGAGGAUCCUUACCUGGUCAGAGAGGAAGGUCAGCCACACUGGGACUGAGACACAGCCCAGACUCCUACGGGAGGCAGCAGUGGGGAAUAUAGGAAAAUGGGGGGAACCCUGAUCCAGCAAUGCCGCGUGAGUGAUGAAAGCCGUAGGGAUGUAAAGCGCUUUUAACAGUGAAGAUAAUGACAGUACCUGGAGAAUAAGCUCCGGCUAACUCCGUG